rnacentral:rRNA from 1 species
UACGUAGGGCGCAAGCGUUGUCCGGAAUUAUUGGGCGUAAAGAGCUCGUAGGCGGCUUGUCACGUCGGGUGUGAAAGCCCGGGGCUUAACCCCGGGUCUGCAUUCGAUACGGGCUGGCUAGAGUGUGGUAGGGGAGAUCGGAAUUCCUGGUGUAGCGGUGAAAUGCGCAGAUAUCAGGAGGAACACCGGUGGCGAAGGCGGAUCUCCGGGCCAUUACUGACGCUGAGGAGCGAAAGCGUGGGGAGCGAACAGG